UACGUAGGUGGCAAGCGUUAUCCGGAAUUAUUGGGCGUAAAGCGCGCGCAGGUGGUUUCUUAAGUCUGAUGUGAAAGCCCACGGCUCAACCGUGGAGGGUCAUUGGAAACUGGGAGACUUGAGUGCAGAAGAGGAAAGUGGAAUUCCAUGUGUAGCGGUGAAAUGCGUAGAGAUAUGGAGGAACACCAGGGGCGAAGGCGACUUUCUGGUCUGUAACUGACGCUGAGGCGCGAAAGCGUGGGGAGCAAACAGG
rnacentral:rRNA from 1 species